rnacentral:rRNA from 1 species
UACGUAGGGUGCAAGCGUUGUCCGGAAUUAUUGGGCGUAAAGAGCGUGUAGGCGGCCCGAUUAGUCCGCUGUGAAAGUCCAGGGCUCAACCCUGGAAUGCCGGUGGAUACUGUCGGGCUAGAGUCCGGAAGGGGCGAGUGGAAUUCCUGGUGUAGCGGUGAAAUGCGCAGAUAUCAGGAGGAACACCAGUAGCGAAGGCAGACUCGUGGGACCGUGACUGACGCUGAGAGCGACGAAGCAGUGGGGAGCAAACAGG